CGGUCACCUGCCCAUGACUCCCGAGCCUCCCCUGAUCAGUCAAAAUAAAGGGGGAAGGGGGCAGGAGAUUGGGGGAGGCUCGGGAGUCGUGGGCAGGUGGCCG
rnacentral:miRNA from 1 species